GAUGAACGCUGGCGGCGGGCCUAAUACAUGCAAGUCGAGCGAACAGAUGAGGAUCUUGCUCCUCUGACGUUAGCGGCGGACGGGUGAGUAACACGUGGAUAACCUAACUAUAAAACUGGGAUGACUUCGUUAAACUAGUGCUAAUAACUGAAAAUAUAUUGAAUCGCAUUUUUCAUUAGUUAAAAACGGUUUUGCUUUCACAUAUAUAUGGAUCCGCAACGCGUUAGCUAAUUGGUAAGGUAACGGCUUAUCAGGGCAACGACUCGGAGCCGACGUGUGAGGGUGAUCGGCCACCCUGGACCGGUACUACGGUACAGACUCCUACGGGAGGCAGGGCUAGGGAAUCGUCCGUAAUGCGCGAGAGCCUAAAGUAGCCCCGCCGCGUGAGUGAUGAAAGUCUUCUGAUAGUAAAACUCUGUUAUUAGGGAAGAAGAAAUGUGUCAGUAACUAUGCACGUCUUGACGGUACCUAAUCAGAAAGCCACGGCUAACUCCGUA
rnacentral:rRNA from 1 species